AUUGAACGCUGGCGGCAUGCCUUACACAUGCAAGUCGAACGGCAGCACGGGUGCUUGCACCUGGUGGCGAGUGGCGAACGGGUGAGUAAUACAUCGGAACGUACCUUAUCGUGGGGGAUAACGCAGCGAAAGCUGUGCUAAUACCGCAUACGCUCGGAGGGGGAAAGCGGGGGACCGAAAGACCUCGCGCGACUAGAGCGGCCGAUGCCUGAUUAGCUUGUUGGUGGGGUAAAAGCCCACCAAGGCGACGAUCAGUAGCUGGUCUGAGAGGACGAUCAGCCACACUGGGACUGAGACACGGCCCAGACUCCUACGGGAGGCAGCAGUGGGGAAUUUUGGACAAUGGGGGCAACCCUGAUCCAGCAAUGCCGCGUGAGUGAAGAAGGCCUUCGGGUUGUAAAGCUCUUUUGUCAGGGAAGAAACACCGGCUCUAACACAGUCCGGGAAUGACGGUACCUGAAGAAUAAGCACCGGCUAACUACGUGCCAGCAGCCGCCGUAA
rnacentral:rRNA from 1 species